UCCGUUCUCACUCCAAACUAGUAAAAUACGGAUGUUUGGACAGUGACUGUCCGCGUCUGAUGCGACGAAUAAAGGCACCCUUGGGCGUAUUUAUGUAACGUUGU